rnacentral:rRNA from 1 species
GAUGAACGCUGGCGGCGUGCCUAAUACAUGCAAGUCGAGCGAACAGAUGAGGAACUUGCUCCUCUGACGUUAGCGGCGGACGGGUGAGUAACACGUGGAUAACCUACCUAUAAGACUGGGAUAACUUCGGGAAACCGGAGCUAAUACCGGAUAAUAUCUUGAAACGCAUGGUUCAAUAGUGAAAGACGGUUUUGCUGUCCCUUAUAGAUGGAUCCGCGCCGCAUUAGCUAGUUGGUAAGGUAACGGCUUACAAAGGCAACGAUGCGUAGCCGACCUGAGAGGGUGAUCGGCCACACUGGAACUGAGACACGGUCCAGACUCCUACGGGAGGCAGCAGUAGGGAAUCUUCCGCAAUGGGCGAAAGCCUGACGGAGCAACGCCGCGUGAUUGAUGAAGGUCUUCGGAUCGUAAAACUCUGUUAUUAGGGAAGAACAAAUGUGUAAGUAACUAUGCACGUCUUGACGGUACCUAAUCAGAAAGCCACGGCUAACUACGUG